rnacentral:rRNA from 1 species
AUGGAUGUCAAGGGCUCCGAAUCACCUGACUGGAUGCCGAUGACACGCAACUGGGGCGCGAAUUGGCACUCUCUCGCGUACCUGACGGGGCAGAGGCUCUCGUUCAGGGUGACCAACGAUGACGGGCGGACUCUUACGUUCACAAAUGUGGUGCCACCCGGCUGGAAGUUCGGGCAGACAUUUGCUAGCAACGUCCAGUUUAAGUGA